rnacentral:rRNA from 1 species
UACGUAGGGUGCAAGCGUUGUCCGGAAUUAUUGGGCGUAAAGAGCUCGUAGGCGGUUUGUCGCGUCGGCUGUGAAAACUCGGGGCUCAACCCCGAGCCUGCAGUCGAUACGGGCAGACUGGAGUUCGGCAGGGGAGACUGGAAUUCCUGGUGUAGCGGUGAAAUGCGCAGAUAUCAGGAGGAACACCGGUGGCGAAGGCGGGUCUCUGGGCCGAUACUGACGCUGAGGAGCGAAAGCGUGGGGAGCGAACAGG